UCUGUCUCUCGCUCUCUCUCGCUCUCUCUCUCCAGCGCUCUGCACAGUCAGCAGUGGAGGACAGUGAUCAGAUCUUUACUGAGCUGAUCCGCUCCAUUGAGAGAAGGAGCUCUGAGGUGAAGGAGCUGAUCAGAGCCCAAGAGAAGGCUCAAGUGAGUCAAGCUGAAGGACUCCUGGAGCAACUGAAGCAGGAGAUCGCUGAGCUGAGGAAGAGAAGCACUGAGCUGGAGCAGCUCUCACACACAGAGGAUCACAUCCAUUUCCUCCAGAGGUAUCAGUCUCUCUCCAGUAUCAGUGUAUCUUCAGACUUACCCAGCAUCGUUGUCCGUCCUCUUCAGUCCUUUGGAGAUGUGAGUCAGACUGUGUCUGAACUGAGAGAGAAACUAGAAGACUUCCUUAAAGGAGAAUGGACCAAGAUCUCCACUACAGUGAAUAUAGUGGAUGUUGUACUGCCUCCAGAGCCCAAGACCAGAGAACAGUUGUUACAAUAUUCCUGUCAGCUCACACUGGACCCAAACACAGCAGGCACACGCCUCUCUCUGUCUGAAGGGAACAGAAAGGUGACCUGUACAGGCCAAGUCCAACCAUAUCCUGUCCAUCCAGACAGAUUCACCAACUGGUGUCAGGUUCUGUGUAGAGAGGGUCUGUCUGGACGCUGUUACUGGGAGGUGGAGAGGACUGGUGGUGUUGAUACAGCAGUCUCAUAUAAAGACAUCAGCAGAACAGGGAGAGAUGGUGGAUUUGGAUACAAUAACAAGUCCUGGAGUUUAGAGUACGAUAGUGUUGGUUAUUGUUUCAGACACAAUAAUGUUGAGACUAAAGUAUCAGGCCCUCAGUCCUCCAGAGUAGGAGUGUACCUGGAUCACAAGGCAGGUACUCUGUCCUUCUACAGUGUCUCUGACACAAUGACCCUCCUCCACAGAGUCCAGACCACAUUCACUCAGCCCCUCUAUCCUGGGUUUAGGCUCUAUGAUUAUAAUGGUUCUGCUGAGCUGGUUAAACUGUAAACUGAUUUGUUAUUAAUUAAAAUUCAAUCCAAUGUUUUAAUCUUGUACAUUUCCAUGAAUCAUGAUGUCUGGUGUUGAUGUAUAUUGGUUGUCAUUCAGAACCAUUGAUAUGUUUUCUCAGUUGGUUCUCUGUCUCUAUGUAAUUCUCCUCAGUAUCAUUGAUCAGCUUGUUGGCUCGGUCCUAAUUGAUGUGUUCUCUGUCACCUGGAGCUGCAUGGAAAAUGGUCCAGGAACUAAAGGACAAUUCAGGACUAGUCAGCCCACUACAAGCUGGUAUCACUUCCUUUCUACUAAACUAUAUGGUCUGGUUUCCCAGACACAGAUGAAUCCUAGUCCUGGACUAAACAGUAUGUUCAAUGUAGAUGUCCAGGAAACCGGCCCUAAAUGUGUCAUCUUUCAUCCUCCCAUACUGCUCAGUCCAGCAACAUUAAACCUGUCCAGCAGGUGGUGCUGUUGACCAAACAAUAAAACCAGCAGAUAUCUUGACUUGCCACUCAGUAUAUCAGUAAUGUUCAGAAUAGUACUUUAAUAUCAUUGGAGAUUGAUGGUCUUUUUAAUCCACUAUCCAGAGUCAGGAACAGAUGAAGUUAGGUCUGCUACUGUUCACUGAUUAAAUAUGAUUUAUGGUGAUGGGAAAUAAUAAAAAACACUCAACUUCA